UACGUAGGGUGCAAGCGUUAAUCGGAAUUACUGGGCGUAAAGCGUGCGCAGGCGGCUUUGCAAGACAGAUGUGAAAUCCCCGGGCUCAACCUGGGAACUGCAUUUGUGACUGCAUGGCUGGAGUGCGGCAGAGGGGGAUGGAAUUCCGCGUGUAGCAGUGAAAUGCGUAGAUAUGCGGAGGAACACCGAUGGCGGAAGGCAAUCCCCUGGGCCUGCACUGACGCUCAUGCACGAAAGCGUGGGGAG
rnacentral:rRNA from 1 species